rnacentral:siRNA from 1 species
UCCAUUUUCGGUGAAUGCU